rnacentral:rRNA from 1 species
GAUGAACGCUGGCGGCGUGCCUAAUACAUGCAAGUCGAGCGAACAGACGAGGAGCUUGCUCCUCUGACGUUAGCGGCGGACGGGUGAGUAACACGUGGAUAACCUACCUAUAAGACUGGGAUAACUUCGGGAAACCGGAGCUAAUACCGGAUAAUAUAUUGAACCGCAUGGUUCAAUAGUGAAAGACGGUUUUGCUGUCACUUAUAGAUGGAUCCGCGCCGCAUUAGCUAGUUGGUAAGGUAACGGCUUACCAAGGCGACGAUGCGUAGCCGACCUGAGAGGGUGAUCGGCCACACUGGAACUGAGACACGGUCCAGACUCCUACGGGAGGCAGCACUAGGGAAUCUUCCGCAAUGGGCGAAAACCUGACGGAGCCAAGCCGCGUGAGUGAUGAAGGUCUUCGGAUCGUAAAACUCUGUUAUUAGGGAAGAACAAAUGUGUAAGUAACUAUGCACGUCUUGACGGUACCUAAUCAGAAAGCCACGGCUAACCACGUG